rnacentral:rRNA from 1 species
GAUGAACGCUGGCGGCGUGCCUAAUACAUGCAAGUCGAGCGAACAGACGAGGAGCUUGCUCCUCUGACGUUAGCGGCGGACGGGUGAGUAACACGUGGAUAACCUACCUAUAAGACUGGGAUAACUUCGGGAAACCGGAGCUAAUACCGGAUAAUAUAUUGAACCGCAUGGUUCAAUAGUGAAAGACGGUUUUGCUGUCACUUAUAGAUGGAUCCGCGCCACAUUAGCUAGUUGGUAAGGUAACGGCUUACCAAGGCGACGAUGCGUAGCCGACCUGAGAGGGUGAUCGGCCACACUGGAGCUGAGACACGGUCCAGACGCCUACGGGAGGCAGCAGUAGGGAAUCUGCCGCAAUGGGCGAAAGCCUGACGGAGCAACGCCGCGUGAGUGAUGAAGGUCUUCGGAUCGUAAAACGCUGUUAUUAGGGAAGAACAAAUGUGUAAGUAACGAUGCACGUCUUGACGGUACCUAAUCAGAAAGCCACGGCUAACUACGU